rnacentral:rRNA from 1 species
GUGCCAGCCGCCGCGGUAAUACGGAGGGUGCAAGCGUUGUUCGGAAUUAUUGGGCGUAAAGCGCGUGUAGGCGGCUAUUUAAGUCUGAUGUGAAAGCGCAUUUGAAACUGCUUGGCUUGAGUCCGGGAGAGGAAGGUGGAAUUCCCAGUGUAGAGGUGAAAUUCGUAGAUAUUGGGAGGAACACCGGUGGCGAAGGCGACCUUCUGGACCGAGACUGACGCUGAGACGCGAAAGCGUGGGGAGCAAACAG